rnacentral:lncRNA from 1 species
AAGUAAACUAAGAGAAAGGCUUGCUCGCCAAUAUGUAUGAAUUACGCAUUCUAAUUAUAAAAUAAUCAAACCAGUUUGCCUUAUGGUCUCUAGAUCUUGCUGCGUUUGCAAAGCCAAAAGCACACCGAAUCUUCAAUGUGGUUUUACAGGAAAGAAAAAAGUGUUAGCAUCAGAACCCUGGCCGUCUAUUUCUAAAGCCAAUUCGGAUAAAUUCUAGUAACCGAGAAGAGACCUCACUUGUUCCACCGAAUUAUACACUACAGGCACCACCCAUUCCAAAUCUUCAAAUAACAAGCAAACCUGACAGUGAACAGGAUAUCUUCUUAAUUAGAAUAUUUUAGGACCUGUUACCGGCCAUAUUGACCUCUGCUCCGGUGAAGACUUCACUUUCCAUGGAGUCAG